rfam:Populus trichocarpa isolate Nisqually-1 chromosome 16, whole genome shotgun sequence.
AUUUGAUGAUGAGGACAUUGAAUGCAGAGUUGCUCGAAUCUUUCCCAAUAUUCGGAGAGUGUCUCUCCAUGAGAUUGCCGAAUCCCAUAUAUUUCUUUUCUUAUGUU